GAUGAGGAACCUGAAAGAUAGGUCACGGAAAUCGCCGCCGCCAGGUUCCAACGAGAAUCCAACGAGCUCUGCAUCAAAACAACCAACUUCAACAGCACAAAGAGCAAUGCAUGAACAACACAAAGUUCAUCCCGGAAAUAUCUGAUUGAACAAUGGUCAUAACACGAAACUAGAAUAUUAAAUCAAGCAGGAAAGUGGCAAAGAUGAAGGUCGCAUCAGAAACCGUACCAAGCUGUUCACAGUGGCUGUGAUGGAUGGCUACUUGCCAUCAAAAGCUUUGCUAAUAACAAUUACUGCAAUGGAUGACU